UCCCGUGUAGCUCAGUGUGGUAGAGCAUGGUGUUUGCAACGCCAGGGCUGUGGGUUCGAUUCCCACAGGGGAC
rfam:Salmo salar isolate Sally breed double haploid chromosome ssa29, whole genome shotgun sequence.